GGUUACUGCUAUCGGUGUUCGCCUAAGCCAUGCGAGUCAUAUGUUCUUCGGAACAUGGCGUACUGCUCAGUAACACGUGGAUAACCUGCCCUUGGGUCCGGCAUAACCCCGGGAAACUGGGGAUAAUUCCGGAUAACGCACAUAUGCUGGAAUGCUUUAUGCGUCAAAUGGAUUCGUCCGCCCAAGGAUGGGUCUGCGGCCUAUCAGGUAGUAGUGGGUGUAAUGUACCUACUAGCCUACGACGGGUACGGGUUGUGAGAGCAAGAGCCCGGAGAUGGAUUCUGAGACAUGAAUCCAGGCCCUACGGGGCGCAGCAGGCGCGAAAACUUUACAAUGCGGGAAACCGUGAUAAGGGGACACCGAGUGCCAGCAUCAUAUGCUGGCUGUCCGGGUGUGUAAAAUACACCUGUUAGCAAGGGCCGGGCAAGACCGGUGCCAGCCGCCGCGGUAACACCGGCGGCCCGAGUGGUGAUCGUGAUUAUUGGGUCUAAAGGGUCCGUAGCCGGUUUGGUCAGUCCUCCGGGAAAUCUGACGGCUU
rnacentral:rRNA from 1 species